rnacentral:rRNA from 1 species
UUUUGACCUCAGUUCAGACAAGGCUACCCGCCGAAUUUAAGCAUAUUACUAAGCGGAGGAAAAGAAACUAACAAGGAUUCCCCUAGUAACGGCGAGCGAACCGGGAAGAGCCCAACUUGAAAAUCUAAAGGUUUUACCUUUCGAAUUGUAGUCUAGAGACGCGUUCUCUGCGGCGGAUCGGCUCCAAGUUCCCUGGAAAGGGACGUCAGAGAGGGUGAGAACCCCGUCGAAGCCGGUUUCAGUCGCUCCACGAGGCGCAGUCGAGGAGUCGGGUUGUUUGGGAAUGCAGCCCUAAGCAGGUGGUAAAUUCCAUCUAAGGCUAAAUAUUGGCGAGAGACCGAUAGCGAACAAGUACCGCGAGGGAAAGAUGAAAAGACCUUUGAAAAGAGAGUUAAAAAGUACCUGAAAUUGUUGAGGGGGAAGCGAUUCAAACCUGUGGGUGCUCCCAGGGCAGUAGCAAUACACGCGCCUGGGGCUGGUCAACGUGGGUUAGCUUGGAGGGGCAUCACUUCCGAGUUGACCGAGGACUCGACGUUGGCGGAAAGGUUUGCAUCGACCCGUCUAGAAACACGGACCAAGGAGUCUAA